rnacentral:pre_miRNA from 1 species
AGUGGGAUAGCUGGGUCAAAUAGUGGUUCCAUUCUUAGAUUUCUGAGCAAUCUCCAUACUUCUUUCCAGAGUGAUUGCACUAAUUUGCAGUCCCACCAGCAAU